CAAAAAAACAGUUUAAUCUUAUUCAAUUUGUGUUUGUGACAAAUUCAUUUUACAACUAAUCAAUUUACAGAUAAUAUGUGUUGUAACGAUCAAAAUCCAACCGUCGAUAAUCACAUUCACAGUUUACGUUUAUUAAAGUUAUAUAAAUUAUUUUUUCACGUUUCAAUAAAUUAUUCACAGAAAUCAUACAGAAGAUCACGCUGCCAUACAAUAUGAUUCCAAACAUAAAGUUAAUAAGUAGAAAAUUAUUAAUACAAUAAUUAUAUUUUAUUUUGAUUUCACAAAUUAACGGUUAAGUUAAAUAAACAGUUUAAAUCUUAAUUAAUUGGUGUUUGUAUCAAUUCAUAUUUUCAACUACUAUUUAUUCAACGUAA